AACGAACGCUGGCGGCAGGCUUAACACAUGCAAGUCGAACGCCCCGCAAGGGGAGUGGCAGACGGGUGAGUAACGCGUGGGAACGUGCCCUUCGCUUCGGAAUAUUCCCGGGAAACUGGGAGCAAUGCCGGAUACGCCGAAUUGGGAAAGAUUUAUCGGCGAAGGAUCGGCUCGCGUUAGAUUAGGUAGUUGGUGGGGUAAUGGCCUACCAAGCCUACGAUCUAUAGCUGGUCUGAGAGGAUGAUCAGCCACACUGGGACUGAGACACGGUCCAGACUCCUACGGGAGGCAGCAGUGGGGAAUCUUGGACAAUGGGCGCAAGCCUGAUCCAGCCAUGCCGCGUGAGUGAAGAAGGCCUUAGGGUUGUAAAACUCUUUCGCCGGUGAAGAUAAUGACGGUAGCCGGAGAAGAAGCCCCGGCUAACUUCGUGCCAGCAGCCGCGGUAACAC
rnacentral:rRNA from 1 species